UAGCAGACAAUGAUGGAGUUAUAAGUACCGUCGCAAUCAGCGAGCAGGGUUGGUGGAAGCCUGCAUGGAUGGGAAAAGGCACUCCGGAGUCGCACUUUCUUUAAAGAGGGCUGUUUUAUGCAGCCAAUCGAGGUGGAACCGCGGGUCUUAACGUACUCGUCCUCGGA
rnacentral:misc_RNA from 1 species